rnacentral:rRNA from 1 species
UUGAAAGGGAAACGAUUGAAGUCAGUCGUACCUGUGGGUAAUCAGCCUUUUGGGUGUGAUUUUGUGGAGUGUGAGGAGUUAAACGCCUUCAUGCCUGCAUAUUCGUGCACUUUGGGUGUAUUUACCCGUGUGGUAAGUUAACAUCAAUUUCGGUGGUCAUAAAAUGGCUGGAGGAAUGUAGCUUCGAUCUUGUAUUGAAGUGUUAUAGCCUUCGGUAGAUGUGAUAAUCGGGAUUGAGGAUUGCAACGGAUACCCCUCGGGGCUACCUGUCUGAUCUCUGAUCGUUGCUCUGGUGCCGAAAGCUUGCUUACGGUUAUCAAAGUCGAUGGUCAAUAGGUUAGAACGGGUUAAAUCGUUAAGGAUGUUGACGUA